UUCACGAUACCUGCAAGAUCUCGCGGGACCUGUAUAGCAAAACUUUUUUUUAUUUAAAAAAGAAAACUUUUAUUUAAAAAGUUCAACAUUUACGAACAUAUGAACAUUGUUUUAAUGUUGUUGUUUUAAUUGUCCCAAGUUUUUAUUUUUUUGUGGCGUCCGCCAAGGUAAUAAUUGCUAGAAAGGAAGUGACGUAUCCAGGUCUUCCCUGAUUGGGUAGGCCACUCACGAUACCUGCAAGAUCUCGCGGGACCUGAGUAUCACGACAGGAAGUGACGUAACCAGGUCUUCGAUUGCACUCGGGGAAAAAAGGCUUGGCGGGAAAACAUGAAAAGCGGCACUGUGUGAAAAGAAGCAUUAGUGUCACUCUGACAUGAUGAUCUGAGGAUAUUAUCAGCUGCCAAGUCUUGCUCUUUGCACUGGGUGAGAACGGGCCCAGAAAGAUCCUCCAAGGACACCUGAUGCAGGACUGCAUGUUUGGCAUUAGUGUCACUCUGACAUGAUGAUCUGAGGAUAUUAUCAGCUGCCAAGUCUUGCUCUUUGCACUGGGUGAGAACGGGCCCAGAAAGAUCCUCCAAGGACACCUGAUGCAGGACUGCAUGUUUGAUUUACAGCACUGCAUUGUGGGAGAUGGGAGUGCCCGCUGGGAUAUGCUGUUGCUGAGCAACAAGAGAAAGGAGAUAAAGCAGUCGGAGGAAUGAAGUACAGGUG